AAGCAAUGAGGUGUACCAUGCAAGGACCAAACAUAUGUUAGGUAAAAAAUAAAUGCAUAGAGAAAAAAUAGGAACAUAAUAACAACAUGGGAGAUUAACGCAUAAACUCCAAUACUGGAGAAAAAACCACGACUAUUGUCAAAUGACAACCAAAUAAUAACAAUAUGUGAAAAUUGUUACAACACAUAGACUGUCCUCAACCAACCUAAG
rnacentral:lncRNA from 1 species